GUGCUCAUUUCUGCAGCAUGCAUAUGAAAAUUGGAACACUACAGAGAUUAGGAUGGCCCCUGUGCAAGGAUGACACACCAAAAAAUGUCCUUAUUAAUCUAUAA
ensembl:snRNA U6 U6 spliceosomal RNA